GCUUUCCGUAGCUCAGGGGUAGAGCACAACCUUGCCAAGGUUGGGGUCGAGGGUUCGAAUCCCUUCGCCCGCUCCA
rnacentral:tRNA from 1 species